GACGUAGGGCGCGAGCGUUGUCCGGAUUUAUUGGGCGUAAAGAGCUCGUAGGCGGCUCAUCGCGUCUGCCGUGAAAACCUGUGGCUCAACUACAGGCUUGCGGUUGAUACGGGUGGGCUGGAGUUCGGUAGGGGAGACUGGAAUUCCUGGUGUAGCGGUGAAAUGCGCAGAUAUCAGGAGGAACACCGGUGGCGAAGGCGGGUCUCUGGGCCGACACUGACGCUGAGGCGCGAAAGCCAGGGGAGCGAACGGG
rnacentral:rRNA from 1 species